CCUACGGGAGGCAGCAGUGGGGAAUUUUGGACAAUGGGCGCAAGCCUGAUCCAGCAAUGCCGCGUGCAGGAUGAAGGCCUUCGGGUUGUAAACUGCUUUUGUACGGAACGAAACGGCUCUUUCUAAUAAAGAGAGCUAAUGACGGUACCGUAAGAAUAAGCACCGGCUAACUACGUGCCAGCAGCCGCGGUAAUACGUAGGGUGCGGGCGUUAAUCGGAAUUACUGGGCGUAAAGCGUGCGCAGGCGGUUAUAUAAGACAGAUGUGAAAUCCCCGGGCUCAACCUGGGACCUGCAUUUGUGACUGUAUAGCUAGAGUACGGUAGAGGGGGAUGGAAUUCCGCGUGUAGCAGUGAAAUGCGUAGAUAUGCGGAGGAACACCGAUGGCGAAGGCAAUCCCCUGGACCUGUACUGACGCUCAUGCACGAAAGCGUGGGGAGCAAACAGGAUUAGAUACCCUGGUAGUCCACGCCCUAAACGAUGUCAACUGGUUGUUGGGUCUUCACUGACUCAGUAACGAAGCUAACGCGUGAAGUUGACCGCCUGGGGAGUAACGGCCGCAAGGUUGAAACUUCAAAUGAAUUGACGG
rnacentral:rRNA from 1 species